AGAGUUUGAUCAUGGCUCAGAACGAACGCUGGCGGCAGGCUUAACACAUGCAAGUCGAGCGCCCGCAGGGAGCGGCAGACGGGUGAGUAACGCGUGGGAAUCUACCUAUCACUACGGAACAACUCCGGGAAACUGGAGCUAAUACCGUAUACGUCCGAGAGGAGAAAGAUUUAUCGGUGAUAGAUGAGCCCGCGUUGGAUUAGCUAGUUGGUGGGGUAAUGGCCUACCAAGGCGACGAUCCAUAGCUGGUCUGAGAGGAUGAUCAGCCACACUGGGACUGAGACACGGCCCAGACUCCUACGGGAGGCAGCAGUGGGGAAUAUUGGACAAUGGGCGAAAGCCUGAUCCAGCCAUGCCGCGUGAGUGAUGAAGGCCUUAGGGUUGUAAAGCUCUUUCACCGGUGAAGAUAAUGACGGUAACCGGAGAAGAAGCCCCGGCUAACUUCGUG
rnacentral:rRNA from 1 species